rnacentral:ncRNA from 1 species
UGACCACGGAUCAGACGUGAUUACCCACUGAACUUACACGUAUCACUAAGCGGAGGAGAAACAACUGAUUCACUUAGUGACAUCGAAUGGACAGGCAACAAACCUACAGCCCGAAGCCUGUGGCCAUUUAUUCGCUUGCUCCCCCAUUAAAAGUCCAGCAAUUAGUACAAUAAUGCUGACCUGGACCAAAUGGGAUAGAAGGCUCGGUGGAGUCAAGUGGUAAAGAUGACAUCAUCCUUCUGGAUAGGCCUUGGAGUCCGGCUGUUUGGAACUUCAUGCCAGAGGGUGUGCCAAACUCCAUCUUGCAUGAGUCGCAUAGCGAGCGCACGGCGUGUUAAAGUUGAAAAGUAUUUUUAAGAGAACAGACAGUGAGUGAAACUGUUUACAGUUAAGCGAGUGAGGCUGGCCUUCGAGAUUUGUGGAUUUAGCUGGGGUAUGUGGGUUG